rnacentral:rRNA from 1 species
UCCGUAGGUGAACCUGCGGAAGGAUCAUUACCUAGAGUUUGUAGACUUCGGUCUGCUACCUCUUACCCAUGUCUUUUGAGUACCUUCGUUUCCUCGGCGGGUCCGCCCGCCGAUUGGACAACAUUCAAACCCCUUGCAGUUGCAAUCAGCGUCUGAAAAAACAUAAUAGUUACAACUUUCAACAACGGAUCUCUUGGUUCUGGCAUCGAUGAAGAACGCAGCGAAAUGCGAUAAGUAGUGUGAAUUGCAGAAUUCAGUGAAUCAUCGAAUCUUUGAACGCACAUUGCGCCCCUUGGUAUUCCAUGGGGCAUGCCUGUUCGAGCGUCAUUUGUACCUUCAAGCUCUGCUUGGUGUUGGGUGUUUUGUCUCGCCUCUGCGUGUAGACUCGCCUUAAAACAAUUGGCAGCCGGCGUAUUGAUUUCGGAGCGCAGUACAUCUCGCGCUUUGCACUCAUAACGGCGACGUCCAAAAGUACAUUUUUACACUCUUGACCUCGGAUCAGGUAGGGAUACCCGCUGAACUUAAGCAUAUCAAUAAGCGGAGGA